rnacentral:lncRNA from 1 species
UAGUGACAUUCAUCCCACAAUGUCUCCCUCAGCUGAAGUCGAUGGGGCUACAGAGGAUGGUGGGGUCAUGGAGGCACUGAUUGGCUUGUAGCUCGACUCCUUGGGAGGAGAUACAGGUCAGAAAUCAUUCUUUUUUCUUGCCUCGAUUAUUUGACAAGAUGGAGGCUUAAUUGACGGAGCUCGAAGAGUACUUUGUGGAUGCUGAGAAGUGUCACUUCUCUUCGAGGUGGCGGAGGAAGGAGUGGCUAAUAC